rnacentral:sRNA from 1 species
CGUUAGUUUUCCGCUCAUUCGAUGUUGGUUUCUCGUCCGGUGUGGUUCACAAUUUUUCUUUCUGUCGCACUGUUCGCACUUCCUCUAUCCGUGUAUGUGUUCGUGUGCGUGUGAGUGAGUGCGGGAAAGUCAGCAGCAACAACAAAUACCCAGGAGAGCGAGAGAGCAGAAAGAUCCGCCGAAAAUUAGCUAUGGAUAAACAGAAUGCAAAAAUGUAUGCAAUUGCCGUCAUAAGUUCGCUCAUUGAGAUUCGCAAUUGAAAUUCACUUCACCGAAAUGAAAAUGAACCAAAUGAGCAUUUAGUCAAGUGAGAGCGAGCGAGAGAGAUGCGCCGCCAAGUUAACCGUUUCAUGUGCAACGUCAUCGUCAUCUGAAGAGUACCGCCGUAGGAAAAGAUAAGAGAGCGCGCGAGCGCAUUACGCCCUUGUUUACACGCCCAUUUCACAACUCCCCCGAAAGGAAACAUCAUCCAAGGACCUCCUAAGGACGCAUAUCAGACCGCUAUUUGGAUAAUUAAUGCAAAGGAAUCCGAAUUAAAAACUUCAGCGAUAAAAGAGUCUGCGCAAAGAGAGAGCGCACAGAGCGAAAGAAGGGGAGAAAAGAAAAAGAUAAAGAGAGCGAGAGCGAGCGCCGCUUCGUUGGGCUCCAAAAAUCACAUCGUGCAGCUCCCAUUUGGAAAAAUUGCGUCUCGCGACACAACGUGCGUCCAAGUCAGCGGAAAGUUUUUCGAUUCGCGGCCCGGUUAUUGAAUUUGUAUAUGCGUUUGUGCGUUGAAAAACUCCAAUUUCUGUAGUUAUUUGUCAUUGGACAAAUCGGCAACCACAAGCUAACCCAUAAACCAAUUUUAUCUAGUGCGACCAGUGCUAAAUAUCGAUUUUUUCGGCUAAUGCGCGUCGAUGACCUCGCACACAACAACAACAGCAACAAUUGAGAGCUAAAGCUGCAAGUACACGCAGAGAAACAACAAAAACGAAAUAAAAGCACUCCAAAGCUGUGUCUAAGUUUUUAAAGUAAGCCAAACAACACAAACGCUUUACAUAAUUGCCCCAGUGCCAAAAGCGGCAGCCACAACAAAAACAACGAAGAAGAAAACAACGGCGUUGCAAGGGGGAAAACUCUCGAUUGAAAGAAGAAGCAGAGGAGGCAGAACAAGAAGGCGGAGAAGACUACCCGAAAAGAGCGGCAGCCGAAAACCGCAAAGACACAUGCUCAGAUACCGUCUCGUGUCCACUCACUUCCUCAAGCAGCCGUAGUGUGCGAGCGAGCGAGACAGCCAUACCCGUAGAGGGGGAACCGAGAACGAGCACGAUAGCAAGAGCGAGAGAGUGUGGGUGUAACUGCGAAUGCACUUGCAACUGCAAUUCAGUGAGAGAGAGUGACAGCGAGAGCGAGCGAUCGCAGGAUACGAUUGUGCUAUAAAAGUGCGACAGGUGCGCUCUGCCUGUCCAUUCACCGUUAGUCGUCGUCGGUAACUCAUUCAGUUGUCGAGAGAUCCUCUUUACAUCCCAUAAAGAGGCAGGAUCAAGGAGCGGACUAAAGAAAAGGGGAGGAAACUCAAACUCGCCAGCGAGAAA